rnacentral:misc_RNA from 1 species
UCCGAUUUGUCACCGGCAGUCUCCUAUGAGUCCCCGUCUUUCACGCUGGCAACAUAGGACAGGGGUUGCGCCCCUUGCGGGGACCACCCAUCUCUGGGCUUAGCACGGGAUGUCAAGGCCUGGUAAGGUUCUGCGCGUUGCGUCGAAUUAAACCACAUGCUCCACCGCUUGUGCGGGCCCCCGUCAAUUCCUUUGAGUUUCAACCUUGCGGCCGUACUCCCCAGGCGGGAUGCUUAAUGCGUUAGCUGCGCCACUGAUAAGCAUGCUUACCAACGGCUAGCAUCCAUCGUUUACGGCGUGGACUAC